AGGGGGAGAGGAGUCUGCAUGUAGCAGGAUCUAGCGUUUAUUGUUGGAUCAUGUUUCAAGAGAUGCGUGAAGAAUUGAAGAAUUCAGGUGAAGAAAGCCUUUUUCGCUCUUGUAGCAAAUGGCUUGAGAGCUGCACCUCUCUGGGAUAGCAAGACACAGAGGUUUGUGGGUAAGAGAAGAGAUUAGGGGGUGCUCUCUUGCUACUUGCUUAUGGCAACGCAAUGCCUUGAAUGAUUGCAAGCUUUGGCUGGUUUUGGGGGUAGUGUGAUAUGAAGACUAGACACUAGCGGGUAUCCAUGCCAAUAGUGAUAAGAACUCUAUUGUCCUCACAGGUAUGCUGACUAUAACAGAUUUCAUCAACAUUCUCCAUCGUUACUACAGGUCCCCAUUGGUGCGUAUCUGAACCAAAUGCAAGUCAAUAUCCCAGUCAUUAGCAUGUUUCACAUUUCAUGUCCAAAUCAUCCCAAUGUGUCUGAAAUGGAUUGUGUAGCUCAAUAAAUGUCCUUAAAGAUGAUUUGGACAUUUAACAUGCAAAAUGCUAAUAACGGGGAUAUUGACCUGCAUUGAUUUUUGGACAAAAAUUCUUAAAAGUUUGCCUUUGGUGACUGUGGCCAGGAAAAACAAAACCAAAGCAUGGAUUGCUGUCUUUCCUUGUCCAUACAUUUCUUACAUGGUUCAAAUGAAUGAGCUGGAGAGGCAUCAAAUUGGAACAUGGCGAGAUGUGUACCUGCAAUACUCCAACCACUGUCUUCACAGUAUCACUCCAGACGCCAGCCUCUUCGACGCCAUCUAUUCCCUACUGAGAUAUAAGAUCCACAGAUUGCCGGUUAUCGAUCCCGUGUCCGGAAAUGUCUUACACAUUCUCACACACAAGCGAAUCCUCAAGUUUCUCCAUAUAUUUUAUUCUACACAGAAAGAGACAGUCCCAAAACCCUGCUUCAUGCAGAAGACGAUCCAGGACGUUGGGAUCGGGACAUUCCAGAACAUUGCCACGGUCCAGCAGACGGCCUCAGUCUACGAUGCUCUGUCUGUGUUUGUAGAGAGGAGGGUCUCCGCACUGCCCGUAGUAAACGAGCAAGGCAAGGUGGUGGCUCUCUACUCCAGAUUUGAUGUGAUUAAUCUGGCUGCCCAGAAGACAUACAACAACCUGAACAUGUCCAUGCAGGAGGCCAUCCAACGGCGCUGCUGUUUCAUUGAGGGCGUCAUCAAGUGUCUCCCCGACGAGACCCUGGAGACCGUCAUUGAUCGCAUAAUUAAGGCUGAGGUCCAUCGGCUGGUCCUGGUGGACAAAGAGGACGUGUGCAGGGGGAUCAUCUCUCUCUCUGACCUGCUCCAGGCCAUGGUGUUAAGCCCGGCAGGUAUUGACGCCCUUUUAGCCCCUUAGCACCUGUGGGAGUCAGACCACCUUGCCCUACCUCCAUCUUCUACCGCCUCUAGCCCCACCUUCCUGGCCCAGAGAUUUCAAGCAAAUCAAACUGAGAUCACUAGAGGACAAAGUGAAGGCCAUGGUGGAUGAAAAGGGAGACCGUUUUCAAAAUGUCAACAUACUGUUGUAGAGAAAAACAUAAUCCGAAACAAUCAGCUGUAUCAGUUGAGUUCAAUAAAACACAAUAGUCAUUAGUUACAUUUGAUCAAAUUGACGAUGUUACUUUGUGUUGCGCUGAAUUUGUGCUGUAUUAAACAUGUUCAAAUCAA